rnacentral:rRNA from 1 species
CACGUAGGGGGCGAGCGUUGUCCGGAAUCAUUGGGCGUAAAGCGCGUGUAGGCGGCUGGCUAAGUCCGCUCUGAAAGCCCGGGGCUCAACCCCGGGAGGCGGGUGGAUACUGGCCAGCUCGAGUCCGGAAGAGGAGUGUGGAAUUCCUGGUGUAGCGGUGAAAUGCGCAGAUAUCAGGAGGAACACCAAUGGCGAAGGCAGCACUCUGGGACGGUACUGACGCUGAGACGCGAAAGCGUGGGGAGCAAACAGG